CCCGCCCUACGGGGGGCAGCAGUGGGGGAUAUUGCACAAUGGGGGGAACCCUGAUGCAGCGACGCCGCGUGGGUGAAGGAGUGCUUCGGCAUGUAAAGCCCUCUCGGCAGGGAAGAAGCAAGACGGUACCUGACUAAGAAGCCCCGGCUAAAUACGUGCCAGCAGCCGCGGUAAUACGUAUGGAGCAAGCGUUAUCCGGAUUUACUGGGCGUAAAGGGAGCGUAGGCGGCCUGCCAAGUCUGAUGUGAAAUACCGGGGCUCAACCCCGGGGCUGCAUUGGAAACUGGCAGGCUGGAGUGCCGGGG
rnacentral:rRNA from 1 species